rnacentral:rRNA from 2 species
UAACCUUUUAGGAGCCAGCCGCCGAAGGUGGGACAGAUGAUUGGGGUGAAGUCGUAACAAGGUAGCCGUAUCGGAAGGUGCGGCUGGAUCACCUCCUUUCUAAGGA